rnacentral:rRNA from 1 species
GAGGAAUAUUGGUCAAUGGACGGAAGUCUGAACCAGCCAAGUAGCGUGCAGGAAGACGGCCCUAUGGGUUGUAAACUGCUUUUAUACGAGAAUAAUUUGAUGCACGUGUGCGUUAUUGCAUGUAUCGUAUGAAUAAGGACCGGCUAAUUCCGUGCCAGCAGCCGCGGUAAUACGGAAGGUCCAGGCGUUAUCCGGAUUUAUUGGGUUUAAAGGGAGUGUAGGCGGUUUGUUAAGCGUGUUGUGAAAUUUAGAUGCUCAACAUUUAACUUGCAGCGCGAACUGUCAGACUUGAGUACACGCAACGUAUGCGGAAUUCAUGGUGUAGCGGUGAAAUGCCUAGAUAUCAUGAAGAACUCCGAUUGCGAAGGCAGCAUACGGGAGUGUAACUGACGCUUAAGCUCGAAGGUGCGGGUAUCGAACAGGAUUAGAUACCCUGGUAGUCCGCACAGUAAACGAUGGAUGCCCGCUGUUAGCGCCUGGCGUUAGCGGCUAAGCGAAAGCAUUAAGCAUCCCACCUGGGGAGUACGCCGGCAACGGUG